rnacentral:rRNA from 1 species
GACGAACGCUGGCGGCGUGCCUAAUACAUGCAAGUCGAACGCUUCUUUCCUCCCGAGUGCUUGCACUCAAUUGGAAAGAGGAGUGGCGGACGGGUGAGUAACACAUGGGUAACCUACCCAUCAGAGGGGGAUAACACUUGGAAACAGGUGCUAAUACCGCAUAACAGUUUAUGCCGCAUGGCAUAAGAGUGAAAGGCGCUUUCGGGUGUCGCUGAUGGAUGGACCCGCGGUGCAUUAGCUAGUUGGUGAGGUAACGGCUCACCAAGGCCACGAUGCAUAGCCGACCUGAGAGGGUGAUCGGCCACACUGGGACUGAGACACGGCCCAGACUCCUACGGGAGGCAGCAGUAGGGAAUCUUCGGCAAUGGACGAAAGUCUGACCGAGCAACGCCGCGUGAGUGAAGAAGGUUUUCGGAUCGUAAAACUCUGUUGUUAGAGAAGAACAAGGACGUUAGUAACUGAACGUCCCCUGACGGUAUCUAACCAGAAAGCCACGGCUAACUACGUG